rnacentral:lncRNA from 1 species
UUAAGCUUGUCUUCACAAACAUGAUGACACAUUCUUGCUUGAAGCCAGGCCCCCAAGAUUCAGCAGGAGCUGAGGCUGGAAUGUAAGUCCAAGUUAAUGAAGCAGCCUCAAAGUUGAGGAGGAAGAGAAUAAACUGCAGCUCUGAGGCACAGACCAUUGGAGAUUCCUCUUUCAAACCCUGCCUUUGCCACUCACUUGAGUUAUUUGAUUUGGGAACAAGAUAAGAAUUCACAAUAUCUGAUUUGUAGAAAUAACCCAGAGGAAGGAAAAUCAGUCAGAAAUACUAAUUUCAGGGUGUUAACUUCUGGGAAUAAACUGCUCUCAGCUGUAAAAAUGAACCCUUAGCCCAUGUGUGCACGAAAUGGAUUGAGUUCAUUGUGGCGCUGAUUUACUGUAACUAGAUGCAAGAUUGAUGCAUCCAGGAGAAACCAUUCCACAUAUCUCAUCUGUCUCUGGAACUGCCCCUUUAAUCUCUUUACUAGAUUUGGUUGUUCUCUAACAAACCAGCAGAUACCUCGAGGGCAG